GGAAGAUAUUGAAGCCCUCGAACGUUUUUUGAAGUUUUUAAAUAAUAAUAAGAAUAACAUUGUCCUUACUACCAAUUUUAGUAAUCGUAGUGUCCAAUUUUUAGAUCUUGAGAUUUACAUUGAAAACUCUGCUAUUUAAACCAAAACUUUUUUUAAAAAGGUGGAUGUAAAUAGUUUUAUUGAUACCACCAGCUGUCAUUUUAAACCGUGGCUGGGAAAUGUCCC